ACCAGGAUGGCCGAGUGGUUAAGGUGUUGGACUUAAGAUCCAAUGGGAUCUUAAGUUCAAACCUUUGUGGGUUUGAACCCCACUCCUGGUA